rfam:Cicer arietinum chromosome Ca5, whole genome shotgun sequence.
AAUCCAUGACGAGGGCACAAUCUUAGCAUCUCCUAAAAGCGCUCCCAAGUUUCAUAGAACAAUUCUCCAUCCUUUUGAGAAAAACUAGUGAUUUGAUUUCUCAAUU